UACAGAGGUCCCAAGCGUUGUUCGGAUUCACUGGGCGUAAAGGGUGCGCAGGUGGUCGGGUAAGUCUGACGUGAAAUCCCGCAGCUUAACUGCGGAAUGGCAUUGGAUACUAUUCGGCUAGAGGGUUGGAGAGGAGACUGGAAUUUACGGUGUAGCGGUGAAAUGCGUAGAUAUCGUAAGGAAGACCAGUGGCGAAGGCGGGUCUCUGGACAGUUCCUGACGCUGAGGCACGAAGGCCAGGGGAGCAAACGGG
rnacentral:rRNA from 1 species